UACGUAGGGCGCAAGCGUUGUCCGGAAUUAUUGGGCGUAAAGAGCUCGUAGGCGGUUUGUCGCGUCUGCUGUGAAAACUCGAGGCUCAACCUCGGGCUUGCAGUGGAAACGGGCAGACUAGAGUGCGGUAGGGGAGACUGGAAUUCCUGGUGUAGCGGUGAAAUGCGUAGAUAUCUGGAGGAACACCGGUGGCGAAGGCGGCAUCCUGGACCGGCAUUGACGCUGAGGCGCGAAAGCCAGGGGAGCAAACGGG
rnacentral:rRNA from 1 species